CCUACGGGAGGCAGCAGUGGGGAAUAUUGGACAAUGGGGGCAACCCUGAUCCAGCCAUGCCGCGUGUGUGAAGAAGGCCUUAUGGUUGUAAAGCUCUUUUACCCGGGAUGAUAAUGACAGUACCGGGAGAAUAAGCUCCGGCUAACUCCGUGCCAGCAGCCGCGGUAAU
rnacentral:rRNA from 1 species